rnacentral:lncRNA from 1 species
AAUCAUCAAAGGACUCACACCGGAGAGAAACCUUACCGAUGCAAUGAGUGUGGGAAAGCCUUCAGUGUUCGUUCAAGCCUAACCACCCAUCAGGCAAUCCAUACUGGGAAAAAACCUUACAAAUGUAAUGAAUGUGGCAAGGUCUUUACUCAAAAUGCUCACCUGGCAAAUCACCGAAGAAUUCAUACUGGGGAGAAACCUUACAGGUGUACAGAGUGUGGGAA